rnacentral:lncRNA from 10 species
UUUUAUUUUAUUAUUAUCAUUUUUUUGAGAUGGAGUCUCACUCUGUCACCCAGGCUGGAAUGCAGUGGCAUGAUCUCGGCCCACUGCAAGCUCCGUUUCCUGGGUUCAUGCCAUUCUCCUGCCUCAGCCUCCUGAGUACCGGGGACUGCAGGCGCUCACCACUACACCCGGCUAAUUUUUUGUAUUUUUAAUAGAGAUGGGGUUUCACCAUGUUAGCUGGGAUGGUCUCAAUCUCCUGACCUCGUGAUAUGCCCACUUCGGCCUCCCAAAGUGCUGGGAUUACAGGCAUAAGCCACCGCGCCCGACCCUACUUUUGGCAUUUCUUGCAGAGUUUUUCUGGUAUCGACAAAUACUCUCAGCAUUUGCUUGUCUGAGAAAGACUUUAUUUCUACUUCAUUUAUGAAACUUAGUUUUGCUGGAUACAAAAUUCUUAGCUGACUGUUAUUCUGCUUAAGGCAGCUAAAGAUCAGACCUCAAUCCCUUCUGGCUUGUAAAAUUUCUGCUGAGAAGUCGGCUGUUAGUCUGGUAGGUUUUCCUUUAUAGGUUACCUGAUGCUUUAGUCUCACUGCUCUUAGAAUUCUUUCCUUCAUGUUGACUUUAGAUAGACUUAUGACUCUAUGCCUUGGUGAUUUCCUUUUUGCAAUGAAUCUCCCAGGAGUUCUUUGAACUCUUUGUAUAUGGUUGUCUAAAUCUGUAGCAAGGCCAGGGAUGUUUUCCUCAAUUAUUCCCUCAAAUACAUUUUCCAAAUUUUUGCUCUUUGUUCACCCUCAUGAACACCAAUGAGUCUUAUAUUUGGCCAUUUUGCAUAAUCUCAUAUUCCUUGGAGACUUUGUUCAUUUCUUUUAAUUCUUUUUUUUAUGUUUUGGUUAAUCUUUGUCUCAUAGCUUGAUAUAAGGAUUGUAUAUAUUUACCAUGUACAACAUGAUAUUUUGAAAUAUGCAUAAAUUUUGGAAUGUUACAAUUGAGCUGAUUAACAUACAUAUUACCUCACAUACUCAUCAUUUUUGUGGUAAGAACACUUACAAUCUACACUUUUAGUGAUUUUCAAAAUACACUGUUGUUCACUGAAGUCACCACGUUUUAUAAUAGUUCUUUAAAUACAUGUAAUAACUGAAAUUUAAGCCAUGCAUGAGAUGGCCCGAGGAGAGAAUAAAGGUUAGCAAGGUUGACUACUACCAAAACUUCAGGAGAAAAAGCCCACAGAGGAGAAAAAGGAGGGAUCAGACAAGAGAGGGUGAAACUGGACAAGGAGAAAUCAACAGAAGAGAGGCACAGACAAAAUAAGUGUAUGUUUCUUAAAGGUCAGAUGUUUUGAAUCAGUAGUUCAAUCAAGGAUCAUGACAAAAUAAAAUGUUGGUUUUGGCAACACUGUUGAAUUUGGAAAGCCUCCAGGGUCGGGUGAGCAGGGAUGAGGUGAAGCAAUGAACAGUGAGUAUGGGCAGCUCUUUUGAGAGGUGGCUAUGAAGGACAAGAAGUCUGGAGCUGGAGGUGGGAGCGCUUUCAGGGGCCAGAAGGUCUCCUUUCCCCCCAGUAUUGAUAGACUUUUCUUAUUUUCCCACAUAUAUAACAAUGACUAGGUAUUUUUAACAUCAGAAUACACAAUUGUUUUCCAAAAGUUAUAAACGAUGAUACUAUACAAAGUAUCUACUCCUAUAUUAAAGAGGUUUGCGAAAUAAGAAAGAGGUAGACAAUAAAUAUGAAAUACUUUGCAAAUGCUGGCAGGACAAUUUAGGAGUGGUAGGCACAGGGAUAGAAUAAUAACACAACCUUUGCAAUUAUGCAGAAUGAAAUUAAAACUUGGUUUCUAUAUGUAACAACUCAAUAACUUUCUUCUCUCAUUUAAAAAAUAGGUAUAAUAUUGAGUAGGAACCUCAAAAAUACUCAGAAACUACAGGAUUUUAUUUAAUGUUUGCUCUGAAUGGGAGACAACACAAAACAUGAGUAGGGCCUCUCCUUGUGGACUCUCUAGAGGGAUAGAUCUAACCAAAGAGGCCUGAGUCCUAAGCCACGGUGCAGAGAUUCAGUAAGGUCCCAUGUCCCUUCUUGGGACCAUCUGAUGGACUUGGCUGUUAGCCCAGCCAACAGGGGGCCCAUGGGGCCUCAGUCCUAAGGGGGGUGAAUGCAAGACCUGGCAGUAAGGCUCUAUGGGACUCCACCCUCAGAGGUCUGGCUGGCUCCAGUCUAUUCAAAGUACUUAAGAGGGGCAUUCGAGGACACGACCAGGCCAUAGAAGUUUUUUCAACAUGAUUUCUAAACAAACACUUUAAUUACUUGGGGGAUAAGAGAGCUAUUGCCUUCAAACAGGAAGUGCUUGAAUACUCCACAUGAUUCCAGAGCUCAGAAUUAGGACCAAUAAAAAAUUAUGUCCAACUACUGGAAUAAUCGGUAAAUAGGAUGCACUGCAUAGCAAAGACCUCAAGCCUCUGUCACAUUAAAAGCCAAAGCAGAAACUGGAGGAUGGCCAGGCAGAGAAGGUAGAGAUCUGACCAAGUAUCCCAUAGACUAGUGAACUCUACUGCACUCUUUCCAGUUCUGAGAUUGCACCUGCAAGUCCACAGGCUGCAAGUAAACACAUGUCACACAAAAGGCAGGUGUGCAUUCUGAAACUUGGAAUCAGGAGAAAAAUCUCUGUAGCAGGCAGUUGUAAAUACUUAAAUAUUGGUCUACUUGCUCUUGAUGACAUUAUGAAGUGAAAUCAAUAUAAUAUGUGGGCGAUCUGUUCAUAGUUAGUGCAGUACACACUCCAGGGGUGGAUAAUAAGUCUCAUUUAAAUAUGAGAUCAGUGGCUUAGUCUGAGAGGAAAUACCCCCACUGACUAACCUCAAAGACACAGAGAGUCAUAAUACCUAUGCCUGCAGGGGGCUGCCAUUGCCAUUAUCAAAAGCCAGCCCAUACCUGCUGUUAAUUUCUGAGAAGUGAUGGCCAAAAGCAUCCCACAUCAUUUCAAUCUGGCCUGAAAUGUUGCCUGGAUAACUCUAAGUGCUUCUCACCUGGUUGUCCUUUUCCUCUGCUCACUUUCGCAGAGGAAGCCAGAUGACAUCAUUCCUCUGUGCACACCUUGCCAUGACUUUAUUUCCUGCAAUAAAAGCUGAAGAACUCACCUGUCCAUUGGGAUCUGGCCCUAGUCAUCCUUCUACCAAAUCACCUGCUACCCCAGCCCUUGCUCCCUUCAUCACAAGACCAAACUAGCCUUUGUUCCUCCCUCUUUGGGGUCUUUGAGUGCCUGUCUUCACUGCGAGCUGUCGUAAUCUGCACAUCCUCAGGGCCGAUUCCCUGUCUUCACUGCGAGCCAUCCUAAUCCGCACAUCCUCAGGGCUGAAUCCCUGUCUUCACUGCUAGUCAUCCUCAUCUGCACGUCCUCAGGCCGAAUCCCUGUCUUCACUGCCAGCCGUCCUCAUCGGCACAUCCUCAGGCCAAAUCCCUGUCUUCACUGCCAGCCGUCCUCAUCUGCACAUCCUCAGGGCGGAAUUCCUUUCCAGCUUGGCGCCUAUGCCCAGGAGGCCUCCUCACACUGAGGCACUGCCACCUGGCCCCUUGUCUAUGGGUUUGCUUUGCCAUAUCAAUCGUGCUCUUUUAUCAUUCUCUAUUACGAAUGUAAUUGUAUUGAAUAUUUCCUACCUCUCUCCAUUAGACUAAGAGCCUCAUGAAGAGAGAGAGAGAUCUCCGUCUGUUUUCUUCAUGAAUGUUUACCAAGCUCCUAGAACAAUGCCUGCACAUGGGGAGCACUCAAAAAGUGUUCUAGAAAUUAAUAUAUUGAUUAAUAAUUGGGAAAAAUCCUGUUUGAUGACCUACCAUGUUCCUACCACAAGACAAGGAAUUUUGUAUAUGAUGAAAGAUGAUAAUUACGUGGAUAAAAUUUAGUUUAUGUACAUAAGCCUCAAUCAAAAACAAUAAAAUGUGAUGGAAGCUACACAUUACAACUGUCUAUGAGCAUUCCAGGUUCUCUGGUCUUUGGACUCUGGGAGGAGCAUCAGCAGACCCCAGGUUCUCCAACCUUCAACCUCAGUCUGAGAGUUACACCAUUGGCUCCCUGGGUCUACAGCUUGAAAACGGCCUGUCAUGGAACUUCCCGCCUCCGUAAUCAUGUGAACCAAUUCUGUCACAAACAGGUCACAAGUUGCACAAAGGGCUCCCGUGGACACUCCUGAUCCAGAACAGCAGAAGGCACCUUGGGCUGAGGGCACCUGCAAGGGAGGACUGUGUGUGUCUGCACCGGGAUCUACACUGCACUGGCACUGCAUAAGCCCCAGCACCUGAGAAACAACCAUCCUUCAAAGAAAGGACAAUUCCCCAAAUGAUGGAGCAUAGAUUUCCAUCACACAUGCAGCACAGGUGUUAAAACUGGAUUCUAGAAAAAUUCAUUUUUACUUUUCACACACUUAUAUCUGUGGGUAGAGAAACCACUCACAACAAAUGUUAAGAUACUCUUUCUGUCUUACUACAGACAUUUCCACCUGGUUCUUUCUCAAUUCUAAAAUUUUUAAUUAGUGCAUUUUGACAUAUGUCACUUUAUCUUCAUGUGGUAGGAAAAUUAUUUUCUUUUUGUUUUCUGACUUUGGCAUUGCCUAUGACAUGUUUUUGAGACACUAAGUGGUAUAGUAAUCUUACCCCUAAACAAUGUUAGGUGGAAAGGAAGGCUCAUUUUAGAGUGAGCCAUGUUGGAAGUGUUCCAUUUCAUUACAAUCUGUACCUUCAAGGGACUCUCAGUGAAACAGGAAAACAUGAAAACAAUAAGUUAAGGGCAAGAAUUUAUAUAUAAAUAAAUGGUAACUAGAGCUUCCUGAAGGUGCUUUGGGGCAGCCCAUAAGCAAUAUUUUCCAGGCCAUUGGGGUCUUCAGGGUUGUCUACCCACCCCUGCUGUCAGUCAAGGGUAAAAAUAAAUAACAAAACUGUUCAUCACACCUGAAAUCAAAUAUUUUCUCACAGGAAUGCCAAAUAUUUGAACAAUUAAAUCAAAUUGUGAAGAUAGUGGUCUAAGGUAAGGGUCAGCAAACUUUUUCUUAAAUGUCGCGAUAGUAAAGGGUUUUGACUUUGUGAUCAUGUAUGGCCUCUGUUAUAUACUCACAUGUAUGCCCACACACUUACAACUCUUUAAAAAUGUAAAAUCCAUUCUUAGCUCACGGGUCUACAAAUUAAGGUUGAUAGUUUGCUGACUCCUAGUCUAAGGUGUAGAGGAAAGUUUGCAACUCACGAAAAAUAUUGUUAACUUCCUAAGUCCCAUGGGCCUUGAUGCAUACAUCAGGAGCAGGUGCAGCUACACUGCCUCUCGGGUGGCAGUGGAUGCAGUUGAUGAGGAAUACUUGGUAGUGCUACAAUAAGAGUAUAAAGAAAAAGGGCUCGAUUAUUCCAGGUAAGGUAGGGAAAAGGAUCACGUGGAAAUUGAUGAGUUGGAAUGACAUAUUUUGAGUAUACUUUAUACAAUCUAAAACAAUCACAAAAAGUAUAGAGACAGGUAGAGUUAGCUAGAGAUAGAGAUGCAGAUAGUGGAGAUGAUUGCUCAGUGACAUUAAGGUGUACAGUGUGAAGUUGCUGUUGUCGCAACUGGUUUCAGCUUCCAUGGGCCUUUCAAAAUCUGUGCUUCUAACCAGUCUUAAGAAGUCUAAUACUUAAAGUGUUUUUUCAUACAAAAUCCCCUCAAGUAAACCUUCAGUUUGUAAGCAGCAAAAACAAUGGUCAAUUCUAAACUUGUAGGAAACCUUACUUUGCUGGACUUACUGAGGAGAAAGUAUGUUGUUAUCUAAAAUGGUACCUUCCUAAGAGAUUUUCAGAAAAAUGUUUGCCCUAUGUCAUCUUUUUCCAUAUGUAUUAAUUUUAGAAUUUAUAUAUCCAAAUAAAAUGUUUCAUCAUUGAUUGUAUACUGAUUCUGGAAGGGUAGAUAUUCAGCCACUGCAUAAUCAAAGCCAGGAAACAUGUUUAAAGUCAUCGACAGUUUGAAAGAAGACCUAGUUUGAAAGCAGAAAGAAGUGAUUAUGGAAUUACGCUUGUGAGGGGAUAGACCCAUCUCCUGGUAAGCGCUAGGUCUUUGGAGUAUAGUAUUAAUGCAUUUUUUAUAUUGUAUAUGUUCUAUAUGAAUAUACCUUAUAAGUGGUGUGAAGACCCCCAGCUCAGUGAUAACAUAUAAAUGACAUAAAUGAGCUGUCUUACCAUUUGAUAUAGCAAUUUUAUCAGCGUUUUAUCAAGUGGGAGGAGAGCUCAUUUAUUAGAGACUCUAUAAUCCAGACAACUAACUGAUACAGGUAACAGUGAAGUAAACAUUGAGACAUGUUUCCAGUCAUUCACUUACAUUGCAUUUACUGAGCUUCAAUUUUGGUCAGACUGAAGGUAUAUGAUGAGAUUCCAAGGAAAUCUUGGAUAUAAUUAAAACAAGUCUGAUGUAAUUUUUAAAAAUAUUAUGAUUUGUGGCUUUUUCCAAUGUAGGAAAUGACCUUUCCCUAAAUACUCUGUAGUGUGACUUCAAAAUUUCUAUUCCCUGAUUUCAAUACAAUACAAUAUGUAAACAAUAAAAUUUCUAUUUGAACCCUAACAUCUUAUUUAAAUGUUUAUGUGUAGAUCCAAAAUGUUACUGUAUGGGUUUCUACAUCUAUGAGACAGUUACUUACCCCAUUCUUGUCAUCCAGCAAUAGGUGUAACAGUAAAACUACUGCACAGAAUUAUUCACAGAUUAAAGAUGUACAGAUGGUGUAAAUAGUAUCUGGCCCACAGCAAACACUCAAGAAAUGUUGGCUAUUUAUGUUAGAUAUUUUAAUUUUAAAAUUCCAUAUCUUGAUAAAAGCUAGGGCAGGGUAGAGUAAGAAUUAUUUUAUAGCUAUGAAAAUAUCUCUUUAUUCAGAUCAGCUCUUUUCAGAGCAUUAAAAAAUACUGAAGAAGAGAAAUAAUAUAAUUUAGCAGUGACAUUAUAUUUUCGAAGCUGCUAUAAUUGUACAUAUGCUCUCCAUUUCCUUACCAUUCUAUGAACAGUAAGAAACAGUUUCUAAUGUAUAAAAUUACUUGUUCUAAAACAUACUUAACCUUUAAAAUAUAUCUCUUAGAUAACUGAUAAUUCCUGCUUUGUUGCUGAAAACUCACUACUCUUAA